rnacentral:rRNA from 1 species
UACGUAGGUGGCAAGCGUUAUCCGGAUUUACUGGGUGUAAAGGGCGUGUAGGCGGGAAAGCAAGUCAGAUGUGAAAACCACGGGCUCAACCUGUGGCCUGCAUUUGAAACUGUUUUUCUUGAGUACUGGAGAGGCAGACGGAAUUCCUCGUGUAGCGGUGAAAUGCGUAGAUAUGAGGAGGAACACCAGUGGCGAAGGCGGUCUGCUGGACAGCAACUGACGCUGAGGCGCGAAAGCGAGGGGAGCAAACAGG